rnacentral:antisense_RNA from 1 species
AAAGCUGUUCCAUUUUCCUGGAUCCUGGUGGGGAACUAACAUGGCACAGAGCCACAGCCAAUCCAAGGACAGGACAUGUGGACCUGCGCUCAGCGUUCUUCACUCCACACAACACAGCUGACCCAGACAUCAUGUGCAGGAGGUACCUCCUGACAGCAGGCUUGACACCAGUUAUUGUCCAACUCCCCAGUAAACCAGAUUCCCUCAUUGCUCCUGAUGGGGUCUAGACUGAGGGAGGAGGAAGCAGGUGGGCAAUGUCCAGAUUUCCAUGAUGACCCUCUGAGGAGAUAUCCAUGGCUAGGUUACUGCACGACUACAGCAUCACAGAGGAGACUCCAGAACUCAAACUACCAAGAGCACCCCUCCAUCAGCUUUGUUUCCUAACUCCUGGCCUGCCUCCAUUCUUGUGGCGCCAUCUCACAGCCAAAUGACAACAAGCCCUCUCUGUCCCUCACAAAAUGCCUGUGAUAAAAAGUUCCCUUUGCAGCCAGACCAGCUGAGAUUGGUACAUAGAACCAAGAUAGCCGACCAAAGGACUUCAAAAAGACCUCAGUCUUCAUGAUGAUCUUAUUUCCAUGCUAAAUGAUACUCCCUCCAGCACCAUGACAGUUGACAAUUGCCAUGACAAUGACUGGAAGAAGCUGUAAAAGGACUAAAAAGGAGGCGGUACUACUGGUUCCAGGAGGUUCACCACCCAUUUCUGGAAAAGACAUGAAUAUUCUUCCCUUUUCUUUUAAUGUCAACUCCUUCAUUAGAGAAAUCCUGUAUCUUAAGCCCCUCACCCUCACUUGUUGAGAAG